rnacentral:rRNA from 1 species
GAGUUUGAUCAUGGCUCACNUUUNACGCUGGCGGCAGGCCUAACACAUGCAAGUCGGACGGUNACAGGAUUAGCUUGCUAAUUGCUGACGAGUGGCGGACGGGUGAGUAAUACUUAGGGAUCUGCCUUUGUGAGGGGGAUAACCAUUGGAAACGAUGGCUAAUACCGCAUAAUGCCUACGGACCAAAGGGGGCUUUUAGCUCUCGCACGAAGAGGAACCUAAGCGAGAUUAGCUAGUUGGUGGGGUAAAGGCUCACCAAGGCGACGAUCUCUAGCUGUUCUGAGAGGAAGAUCAGCCACACUGGGACUGAGACACGGCCCAGACUCCUACGGGAGGCAGCAGUGGGGAAUAUUGCACAAUGGGGGAAACCCUGAUGCAGCCAUGCCGCGUGUGUGAAGAAGGCCUUCGGGUUGUAAAGCACUUUCAGUCGUGAGGAAAGGUUGGUAGUUAAUACCUGCCAACUAUGACGUUAGCGACAGAAGAAGCACCGGCUAACUCCGUGCCAGCAGCCGCGGUAAUACGGAGGGUGCGAGCGUUAAUCGGAAUUACUGGGCGUAAAGCGCACGCAGGCGGUUUGUUAGGCUAGAUGUGAAAGCCCCGGGCUCAACCUGGGAGGGUCAUUUAGAACUGGCAGACUAGAGUCUUGGAGAGGGGUGUGGAAUUCCAGGUGUAGCGGUGAAAUGCGUAGAGAUCUGGAGGAACAUCAGUGGCGAAGGCGACUCCCUGGCCAAAGACUGACGCUCUUGUGCGAAAGUGUGGGUAGCGAACAGGAUUAGAUACCCUGGUAGUCCACACCGUAAACGCUGUCUACUAGCUGUUUGUGUAUUUAAUACGUGAGUAGCGAAGCUAACGCGCUAAGUAGACCGCCUGGGGAGUACGGCCGCCAGGUUAAAACUCAAAUGAAUU